rnacentral:rRNA from 1 species
UACGGAGGGUGCAAGCGUUGUUCGGAAUUAUUGGGCGUAAAGCGCGUGUAGGCGGCCGAAUAAGUCUGGUGUGAAAGCCCGGGGCUCAACUCCGGAAGUGCACUGGAUACUGUUUGGCUAGAGGGCGAGAGAGGAUAGUGGAAUUCCUGGUGUAGGGGUGAAAUCCGUAGAUAUCAGGAGGAACAUCGGUGGCGAAGGUGGCUAUCGGGCUCGUUUCUGACGCUGAGACGCGAAAGCGUGGGGAGCAAACAGG